UGCAGCGGAUCAAAACAAUAACUUUGUAAAAUCUCUCGUACGUUGAAAUCCGAUUCCAACAUAAAAGUCAUUUCGUGUAGAUAAUAACUUUGAAAGCUUACGGAAACGUAUUUGAAGUAAAGUAAGAAAGGUAGUUUGCAGUUAAGAUAAAUAGCACAAAGGAAAUGCAAACCAGAUUUUAGAGUGGUUCGGUCAAACAUGACCUACAUCCACU
rnacentral:lncRNA from 1 species